ACCAAGGGAAGCUCUUUGUCUUGUGGAAGAAUCAUCAUGUCAAUGAGACAUAGGGACGGAUGAUGUAUUAACAAAGCCUGGACUGGGGUAUGUCUGGAUCCCAUGCUGCUCAGCUGAUGGCCUUUGAUGGAGAAACGCACUUUCUGUGUGAAAGGGAGCAGGGGCCAGAUGAAGCCUUCAGAAACAACAGUAAAUGAAGCAUGAAGGCUCCAGGACCCAAAGAGAAUUACGUGAACAAAGGAGAAGUCGAAGAAAGGAUAAAAGAAGCAACAGCAGUGAUAUAAUAACUACAGAGCACACUUGCCACAGUUUCCUCCCCCCGCCCCGCCCCCCCCCAUUUACUUUCUUUCGUUCUAAGACAUUCAUGGCUCUGUCAACAACAAAUACAUGCUCACAUUUGUGUGUUGACUUAACAGAAGGAUCGAUAGCUAAUAUUGGCUCCAGGCUCCCUUAACAAAUUUGAUGAACAAUACUGUAUAUAAUUUAGCCUUAGAAUCAAUCAAAGUUCCAGCCUUGAAGGAAAACAUAGGGGAGGAGAAGAAUAAAAAAGCAACUUAAAACCUCAAGGUGAUAGUCAAAGUGGGGGGGGGGGGUGAAGGGGGUGAAUGGCCAUUGUCCCUAAUUGGUGGUUUUGAUGCUCAGCUUUCCCAUACCCUCCAAGUGUCCCUGUUUUCCAGGGACAGUCCUGGAAUUACGAAAGGCAUCCUGGGUUCUGAAUUGAUCCCAGGAUGUCCCAAUUUUCCCCAUCAGGGCCGCUGCCAAGCUCAGGGAGGAGGAUGAGUUGGCGCUUGUUCUGAGUGAGUGUGGUAGUGGCAGUGGCGGCUUUGAGGAAGCUCCCUAUUGCUUCUCCAUAACCACUGCUGUCAGCCUCCUCCCUUGGGCAGCUCAGAGUGGCUACUGGAGAGCAGGGGAUGAGGAGCAGAGGCUGCCACUGCAGAGGCCCAGCAUGAUGUGCCAGCUCUGAGGUGCAGACAGACAUCUGUGUCUAAUUUUGAAGGAGCGUCUUCACCCCAUUGUUCAGCCCAGACACUGAGGACCAGCUCCGAAGGCCUUGUCGCGGUUCCUUCAC